CUUGACCGAGCCGAGCAGCAGCGGGUUGUCGGCCUCACGGCCCUGGCCGUAGGUGGCCAGCAGUGCCUGGGCCUC
rnacentral:antisense_RNA from 3 species